UACGUAGGGAGCGAGCGUUGUCCGAAGUUACUGGGCGUAAAGCGCGCGUAGGCGGGCUGUUAAGUGAGAGGUGAAAGGCUGGGGCUUAACCCCAUGCAGUGCCUCUCAUACUGGCGGUCUUGAGUGCGGCAGGGAGAAGUGGAAUGGCUGGUGUAGCGGUGAAAUGCGUAGAGAUCAGGAAGAACAUCGGUGGCGAAGGCGCUCUGCUGGACCAUAACUGACACUCAGGGACGAAAGCUAGGGGAGCGAAUGGG
rnacentral:rRNA from 1 species